rnacentral:lncRNA from 10 species
AGAUCCAGAGUGAAGCUAAGUCCUCCAAGUCAAAUGGGUGUGUUAGCCAGGUAUCAAGGAAGAGGAGGAGAGAGGGCAGCAAGGAUGAAGGAGAAGCGUGUGCUAAGAUGCGGUGUACCGUCCGUCUGGUCACACCUCUGAACAGUGCUGGAAGAAUGCCAUGCCUGCCUAUCAUGAUGACACCCACUUCUAUUUCAAAAGUUGACCCCAAAUCCUUCUCUGGGCCUUCAGAGAGAUCUUCCUUGUCCAGCUCUAUUUCCAGACAUCACCUGCUUCCGGAUUCCCAUCCACCAAUGUGGACUUCCGUGUCUCUACGCACUAGCUGUUCCCAUGCCCUCUUCCCAUUGUUGCCUUACCCCUUCCAUAUGUCACUCUGCUGGCCAGCGUGAGCAUGCUUGAGAACCAUCCCCAGCUCCUGCCUCACCCACUUGGCCAGUCUAGGGCACAGUCCAGACCCAUCACCAUCAAACUAGGCCUCAAGCAGUU